rnacentral:rRNA from 1 species
AGGGUUUGAUCAUGGCUCAGGACGAACGCUGGCGGCGUGCUUAACACAUGCAAGUCGAGCGAGGUCCAUCCUGUCGCAAGACAGGUGAAGACCUAGCGGCGAACGGGUGAGUAACACGUGAGGAACCUGCCCCGAAGACUGGGAUAACACCGGGAAACCGGUGCUAAUACCGGAUGCCCUCAGAGAGUCGCAUGGCUCAUUGAGGAAAUGGAUUCCGCUUCGGGAGGGCCUCGCGGCCUAUCAGCUUGUUGGUGGGGUAACGGCCUACCAAGGCUCCGACGGGUAGCUGGUCUGAGAGGACGACCAGCCACACUGGGACUGAGACACGGCCCAGACUCCUACGGGAGGCAGCAGUGGGGAAUCUUGCGCAAUGGGCGAAAGCCUGACGCAGCAACGCCGCGUGGGGGACGAAGGCCUUCGGGUUGUAAACCCCUUUCAGCAGGGACGAAAAUGACGGUACCUGCAGAAGAAGCCCCGACCAACUACGUGCCAGCAGCCGCGGUAAUACGUAGGGGGCGAGCGUUGUCCGGAUUUAUUGGGCGUAAAGAGCUCGUAGGCGGUUUGGCAAGUCGGGUGUGAAAACUCCGGGCUCAACUCGGAGACGCCACUCGAUACUGCCAUGACUCGAGUCCGGUAGGGGAGUGCGGAAUUCCUGGUGUAGCGGUGAAAUGCGCAGAUAUCAGGAGGGACACCGGUGGCGAAGGCGGCACUCUGGGCCGGUACUGACGCUGAGGAGCGAAAGCGUGGGGAGCGAACAGGAUUAGAUACCCUGGUAGUCCACGCCGUAAACGUUGGGCACUAGGUGUGGGGCUCGAUCGACGGGCUCCGU